AUUGAACGCUGGCGGCAGGCCUAACACAUGCAAGUCGAACGGUAACAGAAAGCAGCUUGCUGCUUUGCUGACGAGUGGCGGACGGGUGAGUAAUGUCUGGGAAACUGCCUGAUGGAGGGGGAUAACUACUGGAAACGGUAGCUAAUACCGCAUAACGUCGCAAGACCAAAGAGGGGGACCUUCGGGCCUCUUGCCAUCGGAUGUGACCAGAUGGGAUUAGCUAGUAGGUGGGGUAACGUCUCACCUAGGCGACGAUCCCUAGCUGGUCUGAGAGGAUGAACAGCCACACUAGAACUGAGACACGGUCCAGACUCCUACGGGAGGCAGCAGUGGGGAAUAUUGCACAAUGGGCGCAAGCCUGAUGCAGCCAUGCCGCGUGUAUGAAGAAGGCCUUCGGGUUGUAAAGUACUUUCAGCGGGGAGGAAGGGAGUAAAGUUAAUACCUUUGCUCAUUGACGUUACCCGCAGAAGAAGCACCGGCUAACUCCGUG
rnacentral:rRNA from 1 species